rnacentral:rRNA from 1 species
GAUGAACGCUAGCGGCAGGCCUAAUACAUGCAAGUCGAACGGUGUAGCAAUACACAGUGGCGCACGGGUGCGUAACACGUAUGCAACCUACCUUACAUUGGGGGAUAGCCUUUCGAAAGGGAGAUUAAUACCGCAUAAGACAGUAACUAGGCAUCUAGUAGCCGUUAAAGAUUUAUCGAUGUAAGAUGGGCAUGCGUCCAAUAAGUUAGUUGGCGGGGUAAUGGCUCACCAAGACGAUGAUUGGUAGGGGAACUGAGAGGUCAAUCCCCCACACUGGCACUGAGAUACGGGCCAGACUCCUACGGGAGGCAGCAGUAGGGAAUAUUGGGCAAUGGGCGCAAGCCUGACCUAGCCAUGCCGCGUGCAGGAAGAAGGCGUUAUGCGUUGUAAACUGCUUUUAUACAGGAAGAAACGACCCUUGCGAGGGGCAUUGACGGUACUGUAUGAAUAAGCACCGGCUAACUCCGUGCCAGCCGCCGCAGUAACUC